rnacentral:rRNA from 1 species
GACGAACGCUGGCGGCGUGCCUAAUACAUGCAAGUUGAGCGCUGAAGGUUGGUACUUGUACCAACUGGAUGAGCAGCGAACGGGUGAGUAACGCGUGGGGAAUCUGCCUUUGAGCGGGGGACAACAUUUGGAAACGAAUGCUAAUACCGCAUAAAAACUUUAAACACAAGUUUUAAGUUUGAAAGAUGCAAUUGCAUCACUCAAAGAUGAUCCCGCGUUGUAUUAGCUAGUUGGUGAGGUAAAGGCUCACCAAGGCGAUGAUACAUAGCCGACCUGAGAGGGUGAUCGGCCACAUUGGGACUGGGACACGGCCCAAAAUCCUACGGGAGGCAGCAGUAGGGAAUCUUCGGCAAUGGACGAAAGUCUGACCGAGCAACGCCGCGUGAGUGAAGAAGGUUUUCGGAUCGUAAAACUCUGUUGGUAGAGAAGAACGUUGGUGAGAGUGGAAAGCUCAUCAAGUGACGGUAACUACCCAGAAAGGGACGGCUAACUACGUG